CCAUAUAUGCAUAAUAAACUGAUUUUAUUCAAAAACUUUUUCAAAAGCAAAAGCUUGGGUUUGUGUGUGCGUGAACAAAUGGUUUGAGUAUUGCUGUUUUCGUAUGGUUCCAACAGCAUGGGUUUUUAAGAGAAGAUAUUAUUUUUCAUGCUGUUUUUCUUUGAGAUUUUAAAUUGAAUAUCAAUUAUGGAAAUGAGCCUUGUGAUUUUCGUAAUUGAUUGUUUUCCAAACAAACACUUCAUCAUAUAAACAUUCUGCAUGAUCGAGUUAGUAUCCUGCAAAGUUCGAGGGAAAGGUGAUUGACGGCUGCGUUAGUGUCGUGCCACUUCAACUCGAAGACUGAAGAAAGAUCGAGUAGCAAAGCGUGGAGACAAAGCUGCCAACUGGUCUCGAGAUCCUGAAGAUGUUAUAACAGAAACAAGAUCAAAAAGAUUAGCUUAGCCUGUAGGGCUUACAGGAGCUGCUAUUCGACUGCAGAGGAAAUGUUUUGAAUGGGUUAUGCUGAUCUAUUAUUGGCUUUACUACGAUGCUUUAGCUGAAAUGUCUGAUUCUGAUCCUUUUUCUUGAAUUGUUGUCAAUGUGGACUGGAUGGAUGGUCCACAUGAGACAUCAUCUUCUUCCAACUGCCAUGCCUCAGAUUGCAGUUGUUAGAUUAAUAAGUAGUAUUAGACUAUUAGUUGCGUAGCUGAUGGUUAAAAUCUGUUUUUUUUCACCUGGUGUGCUUCUAUUGCAGGUUCUUAACAAAAUGGGGGAAAUGCUUAAAGCAAAUGGGGCCAACUAUUCCUCUGUGGUUAAAACGACUAUUCUAUACGGAUUUGGUGUUGGAGGUGAAAUUGGAUGUUUGUUAAGUCCAUGCAGGUUGGCUGAUUUGAAAGACUUAAGAAGGCCACUGAAAUCUAUGCAAACUGUAAGAUCUACGGAUACUAUAAGAAACAAUCUGACCUUUAGCAAAUGAAGAAGAUGAAGUAAUAGUCGACGUCAAUGAUUUUCCAUCUCCAACCCCAGCGCGUCCAACAUUUCAGGUAGCGGCGCUGCCUUUGGAUGCCAAGAUUGAAAUUGAGUGCAUCGCAGCAGUGUAACCUCCUAAUAUACAGCUUCUUCUCAGCAACUUAGAAAAUAAUGUAGGAACUAGGAGGUGGCAUCUUUGAGUUUUGAGUUUCACAUUUGUAUUUCCUCCUUGGCCUCCUGCUCGAGGUUAUUAUAACAUCGCUUUUGUAUCUAAAAACUAAAGAGAGAGACCAACCGACGUUAUUGAAAUGGACCUUUCCCUGCUUUUCCUUG